rnacentral:rRNA from 1 species
UACGUAGGGGGCUAGCGUUGUCCGGAAUCAUUGGGCGUAAAGAGCGUGUAGGCGGUCCGGUAAGUCCGCUGUGAAAGUCGGGGGCUCAACCCUCGAAUGCCGGUGGAUACUGUCGGGCUAGAGUACGGAAGAGGCGAGUGGAAUUCCUGGUGUAGCGGUGAAAUGCGCAGAUAUCUGGAGGAACACCGAUGGCGAAGGCAGCUCGCUGGGACGGUACUGACGCUGAGGCGCGAAAGCGUGGGGAGCAAACAGG